GUCAGGAUGGCCGAGUGGUCUAAGGCGCUGCGUUAAGGUCGCAGUCUCCCCUGGAGGCGUGGGUUCAAAUCCCACUUCUGACA
rfam:Gasterosteus aculeatus cont1.016908, whole genome shotgun sequence.